CUCCUACGGGAGGCAGCAGUGGGGAAUCUUAGACAAUGGGCGCAAGCCUGAUCUAGCCAUGCCGCGUGAGUGAAGAAGGCCUUAGGGUCGUAAAGCUCUUUCGCCAGGGAUGAUAAUGACAGUACCUGGUAAAGAAACCCCGGCUAACUCCGUGCCAGCAGCCGCGGUAAU
rnacentral:rRNA from 1 species